rfam:Camelus ferus unplaced genomic scaffold scaffold1614, whole genome shotgun sequence.
GGAGGGGACAGCUCAGGGGCAGAGCAUGUGCUUAGCAUGCACGAGGUCCUGGGUUCCAUCCCCAGUACCUCCC